UACGUAGGUCCCGAGCGUUGUCCGGAUUUAUUGGGCGUAAAGCGAGCGCAGGUGGUUUAUUAAGUCUGGUGUAAAAGGCAGUGGCUCAACCAUUGUAUGCAUUGGAAACUGGUAGACUUGAGUGCAGGAGAGGAGAGUGGAAUUCCAUGUGUAGCGGUGAAAUGCGUAGAUACAUGGAGGAACACCGGUGGCGAAAGCGGCUCUCUGGCCUGUAACUGACACUGAGGCUCGAAAGCGUGGGAAGCAAACAGG
rnacentral:rRNA from 1 species